rnacentral:rRNA from 1 species
AGAGUUGAUCAUGGCUCAGAACGAACGCUGGCGGCAGGCCUAACACAUGCAAGUCGAGCGCGCCCUUCGGGGUGAGCGGCGACGGGUUAGUAACGCGUGGGAACGUACCCUUUGGUAGGGAAUAGCCACUGGAAACGGUGAGUAAUACCCUAUGAGCCCUUCGGGGGAAAGAUUUAUCGCCAAAAGGAUCGGCCCGCGUUAGAUUAGGUAGUUGGUGGGGUAAUGGCCUACCAAGCCUACGAUCUAUAGCUGGUUUUAGAGGAUGAUCAGCAACACUGGGACUGAGACACGGCCCAGACUCCUACGGGAGGCAGCAGGUGGGGAAUCUUGGACAAGUGGGGGCAACCCUGAACUCCAGCCAUGCCGCGUGAGUGAAGAAGGUCCGUUAGGGUCGUAAAGCUCUUUCGCCUGUGAAGAUAAUGACGGUAGCAGGUAAAGAAACCCCGGCUAACUCCGUGCCAGCCGCAGC